AGUGAACGCUGGCGGUAGGCCUAACACAUGCAAGUCGAACGGCAGCACAGUAAGAGCUUGCUCUUACGGGUGGCGAGUGGCGGACGGGUGAGGAAUACAUCGGAAUCUACUUUUUCGUGGGGGAUAACGUAGGGAAACUUACGCUAAUACCGCAUACGACCUACGGGUGAAAGCAGGGGAUCUUCGGACCUUGCGCGAUUGAAUGAGCCGAUGUCGGAUUAGCUAGUUGGCGGGGUAAAGGCCCACCAAGGCGACGAUCCGUAGCUGGUCUGAGAGGAUGAUCAGCCACACGGAAACUGAGACACGUUCCAGACUCCUAGGGGAGGCAGCAGUGGGAAAUAUGGGAAAAUGGGCGCAAGCCUGAUCCAGCCAUCCCGCGUGGUUGAAGAAGGCCUUCGGGUUGUAAAGCCCUUUUGUUGGGAAAGAAAAGCAGCAGGUUAAUCCCCCGCUGUUCUGACGGUACCCAAAGAAUAGCACCGGCUAACUUCGUG
rnacentral:rRNA from 1 species